rnacentral:lncRNA from 1 species
GGGUUAUCGAUUAACAGAGAAGGAGGAAUUGGGGAUGAUGCUGAGAACUCCUAGUUAAAUAACUGGAAGAACUGUGUUAUUCACAUUAAGGACGAGGGAAAGCAUAUUUGGGAGAAGUGCUAUUUCUGCAUCGUCCUUGUUGAGAAUGCAGUGAGCGUGAGGCAAAUAAUUACAAUUGUCCAAAGUGCUGUUGAGUACAGGAAACUCAAGCUCAGAACUGCCAUAACAAAGCACAACAGACUGGGUGGCUUAAAUGACAGAAAUUUAGUUUCUCACAGCUCUGGAGAUUACCUGGAUGUGGUGGCUGCAAUUGCAUCUGCUAUCUUGGGUGAAUAAAGAAAACCAGCAUAAGAAAACAAUCCAAAAUGCUGAACAUGGCAGAAUACAAAAAUAGAAAAUAUGAAGCUGUGACCUUGAAGAUGUCAUCGACCCCCUUAAUAAAAAAAACAUGAAGUCACCCUACCAGAAGACCUUUUGUUGUUUGAGUUAAUAAAUAAUAAAUUAAGCCAUUUU